UAGGGAAUCUUCCGCAAUGGACGAAAGUCUGACGGAGCAACGCCGCGUGAGUGAAGAAGGAUUUCGGUUCGUAAAACUCUGUUGAUAGGGAAGAAAAAAUGUAUAGUAACUAUAUACAAAAGAGACGGUACCUAACCAGAAAGCCACGGCUAACUACGUGCCAGCAGCCGCGGUAAUACGUAGGUGGCAAGCGUUGUCCGGAAUUAUUGGGCGUAAAGCGCGCGCAGGUGGUUUAGAAAGUCUGAUGUGAAAGCCCACGGCUCAACCGUGGAGGGUCAUUGGAAACUAAUAAACUUGAGUGCAGGAGAGAAAAGUGGAAUUCCUAGUGUAGCGGUGAAAUGCGUAGAGAUUAGGAGGAACACCGGUGGCGAAAGCGGCUUUUUGGCCUGCAACUGACACUGAGGCGCGAAAGCGUGGGGAGCAAACAGG
rnacentral:rRNA from 1 species